rnacentral:tRNA from 1 species
AGGGGUAUGGCUCAGUGGUAGAGCACUUGUCUAGCACACAGGAGACCCUGAGUUGAUCCCCAGCACUACCA